UCCCAGGUGGCUCAGUGGUAAAGAAUCUGCCUGCAAAGCAGGAGACCCCGGUUCAAUCCCUGGGUAAGGAA
rnacentral:tRNA from 1 species